rnacentral:rRNA from 1 species
GAUGAACGCUAGCUACUGGCUUAACACAUGCAAGUCGAGGGAUAACGAGAGGGAAGCUUGCUUUCCUUGUCGACGACCGGCGCACGGGUGAGUAACGCGUAUCCAACCUGCCCCCAACUAGGGAAUAACCUUGCGAAAGUAAGACCAAUACCCUAUAAUUUCCUCAGAUGUCAUCUGACGAGGAAUAAAGAUUUAUCGGUUGUGGAUGGGGAUGCGUCUGAUUAGCUUGUGGCGGGGUAACGGCCCACCAAGGCAACGAUCAGUAGGGGUUCUGAGAGGAAGGUCCCCCACAUUGGAACUGAGACACGGUCCAAACUCCUACGGGAGGCAGCAGUGAGGAAUAUUGGUCAAUGGGCGGAAGCCUGAACCAGCCAAGUAGCGUGCAGGAUGACGGCCCUAUGGGUUGUAAACUGCUUUUAUACAGGAAUAAAGUUAGCCACGUGUGGUUAUUUGUAGGUACUGUAUGAAUAAGGACCGGCUAAUUCCGUGCCAGCCGCCGCCGUAA